UGGUGGUACGAACUGUCUGGUUAAUUCCGAUAACGAACGAGACUCUAACCUGCUAAAUAGUACAUGUGCAUUUGUUAUGUGGACCCCCUGUACCGAUGCUUCGGUGUCGGGAUAGGACCAUAUAAGCAGGUGAAACUUCUUAGAGGAACAGGCACCGAAAAGGUGCACGAAAGAGAGCAAUAACA
rnacentral:rRNA from 1 species